AAAGAAUAUGCUUUCCGCGUAUUCUAAUUAAAAUCUUACAUAUCAUAUUCUCCUUUUAUCAUUCCAUUCUGUGAAGUGGUUUUCGCCUUUUGGGGUUCUCAAGUUCAUAGUGUCACUGUCUUUUAGUUUUAGGUGUUUUUUUUGGUUUUUGGGUCAUCAAGUUCAUACUAUUCCAACGGCGGCCGAUGAGUCUGAUCUUUGGGUCAUCAAGUUCAUACUUGUCCGAUCUUCUUCUUCUUUUUCUUUUUAAUUUUCCUAUUUUUGACUCAGAUCUGGAUAUUAUUGUCAUUCUCAUGUGAUUAUUAUUUGUAAAUAUUGUUAAGGCUUAUUGGGAAUGAAUAAUGAGUUUGGAAAGUAAGUAGUUUUGUGUUACUUAUUAGAGUAAGUCAUACAUUAAUGAUUAAUUUGGGCGCAACGGAGAAGAAGACGUGCAGAUAUGAAGCUGAACUCUGAAAGCUAGAUUUUUUUUUCUAUAUAAGUACGGAAUCGGUCCAACUCGCGAAUCAGUCAUCGGUUCGCUGGGUCAGACGGUUCAGCCGCCGGUUAGCCGGGUUUGAACAAUUUUUAAACAAAAAUGGAUUAUUGGUCCAAACCGGACUGGAGAGCCAACCUAUUUCGAUUUUUUCUGGUUCGACUGUCGGUCUGGUCCAGGUCUGAAAACCAUGGCACAAUGUUUGUUUGACAAACUUUUAUGACAUAAAGUUACUUAAUUGUGCAAAAUUUUGUAUUCUAUGGUCACUUAGCUAUAGUCAAAUUAUAACACCAAAUGGCAAAAACACAAAUUCAACUCA
rnacentral:lncRNA from 1 species